rnacentral:rRNA from 1 species
AAGGAAUAUUGGUCAAUGGACGCAAGUCUGAACCAGCCAUGCCGCGUGAAGGAUUAAGGUCCUCUGGAUUGUAAACUUCUUUUAUCUGGGACGAAAAAAGGCGAUUCUUCGUCACUUGACGGUACCAGAUGAAUAAGCACCGGCUAACUCCGUGCCAGCAGCCGCGGUAAUACGGAGGGUGCAAGCGUUAUCCGGAUUCACUGGGUUUAAAGGGUGCGUAGGCGGGCAGGUAAGUCAGUGGUGAAAUCCUGGAGCUUAACUCCAGAACUGCCAUUGAUACUAUCUGUCUUGAAUAUUGUGGAGGUAAGCGGAAUAUGUCAUGUAGCGGUGAAAUGCUUAGAUAUGACGAGGAACUCCGAUUGCGUAGGCAGCUUACUAAGCCAUAACUGACGCUCAAGCACGAAAGCGUGGGGAUCAAACA